rnacentral:rRNA from 1 species
CCUGGUUGAUCCUGCUAGUAGUCAUAUCCUUGUCUCAAAGAUUAAGCCAUGCAUGUCUAAGUAUGAACUAAUUCAGACUGUGAAACCAUGGAUGGCUCAUUAAAUUAGUUAUAGUUUUUUUUAUGGUACCAUACUACUCGGAUAUCCAUAGUAAUUAUAGAGCUAAUACGUGCACCAAGUCCCGAUUCUUUGGAAGGGAUGCAUUUUUUAGAUAAAAGGCCGAUGCGAGCUUGCCCACUUCUCUAGUGAAUCAUGAUAACUCAAAGGAUCACACAUCCCUUGUGCUGGCGAUGCUUCAUUCAAAUUUCUACCCUAUCAACUUUCAAUGGUAGGAUAGAGGCUUACCAUGGUGGUGACGGGUGAUAGAGUAUUAGGGUUCGAUUCUGGAGAGGGAUCCUGAGAAACAACAACCAUAUCCAAGGAAGGCAGCAAGCAUGCAAAUUACCCAAUCCUAACAUGGGGAGGUAGUGACAAUAAAUAAUAAUACUGGGCUCAUCGAGUCUGGUAAUUAGAAUGAGUACAAUCUAAAUCCCUUAAUGAGGAUCCAUUGGAGGGCAAGUAUAGUGCUAGCAGCCAUGGUAAUUCUAGUUCCAAUAGCGUAUAUUUAAGUUGUUGCAGUUAAAAAGCUCGUAGUUGGAUCUUGGGUCGUAAAGGCCGGUCCACCUACUCGGUGUGCACCUGCCCUUGCUUCCCUUUUGUCAGUGGCGUGCUCCUAGCCUUAAUUGGCUGGGUCGCAGCUCCGGCACUUUUACUUUGAAAAAAUUAGAGUGCUCAAAGUAAGAUUAUGCUAUGAAUACAUUAGAAUGGAAUAACAUGAUAGGAUUCUGGUCCUAUUAUGUUGGCCUUCAGGACCGGAGUAAUGAUUAAUAGGGAUUAUCGGGGGCAUUCGUAUUUCAUUGUCAGAGGUAAAAUUCUUGGAUUUAUGAAAGAUGGACCAUUGUGAAAGCUUUUGCCAAGAAUGUUUUCAUUAAUCAAGAACGAAAGUUGGGGUUCAAAGAUGAUCAGAUAUCAUCCUAGUCUCAACCAUAAAUGAUGCCGACCAGGAAUCAUUGGAUGUUGCUCUUAGGACUCCGCCGACACCUUCUGAGAAAUCAGAGUGUUUGGGUUCUGGGGGGAGUAUGGUCGCAAGGCUGAAAUUUAUAGGAAUUGACGAAAGGGCACCACCAGGAGUGGAGUCUGUGGCUUAAUUUGACUCAACAUGGGGAAACUUACCAGGUCCAUACAUAGUAAGGAUAAACAGAUUGAGAGCUCUUUCUUGAUUCUAUGGGUGGCGGUACAUGGUUGUUCUUAGUUGGUGAAGCGAUUUGCCUGGUUAAUUUAGAUAACGAUUGAGACCUCAGCCUACAAACUAGCUACGUGGAGUUUCCCCUUCACAGCUAGCUUCUUAGAGGGAAUAUGGCCAUUUAGGCCAUGGAAGUUUGAGGUAAUAACAGGUAUGUGAUGCCCUUAGAUGUUUUGGGCCACACGCAUGCUACAUUGAUGCAACCAAUGAGUUUUUCUUCCUAGUUCAAGAGGAUCGAGAAAUAUUCUCAAAUUGCAUCGUGAUGGGGAUAGACGAUUGCAAUUAUUGGUAUUCAACGAGGAAUUCCUAGUAAGUGUGUGCCAUCAACUCGUGUUGACUAAGUCCUUGCCCUUUAUACACACUGCCCAUUGCUCCUACCAAUUGAAUGAUCCGGUGUAGUGUUCGGAUUGUGUCGACGAUGGUGGUUCGUCGUCAUCGACGCCGUGAGAAGUUCAUUGAACCUUAUCAUUUAGAGGAAGGAGAAGUCGUAACAAGGUUACUGUAGGUGAACCUGCAGUAG